rnacentral:misc_RNA from 1 species
AACGCACCUUGCGCUCCUUGGAAUUCCGAGGAGCAUGCCUGUUUGAGUGUCAUGAAACCUUUCAAACCUCUCAUGACUGACUACCAGUCAUCGAGGCUUGGAUUCUGGAGUGUGCUGGAAAGAUCUCCCUUACCGGCUCCUCUGAAAUGAAUCAGCGAAACCUUGACCACAGGAAAACUUGCUUAGUUUUUGGUUUGAUAAUCUCUUUGUCUAUGCCAUGGCUAUUUGCAUCCUUGCUGGUGUGAGGUUUGCUUACAAUUGCAUUCUUGAUAAUUUUGGCCUCAAAUCAGGUAGGACUACCCGCUGAACUUAA